rnacentral:rRNA from 1 species
CCUACGGGGGGCAGCAGUGAGGAAUAUUGGUCAAUGGGCGAGAGCCUGAACCAGCCAAGUCGCGUGAAGGAUGACUGCCCUACGGGUUGUAAACCUCUUUUAUAAAGGAAUAAAGUGCGGAACGUGUGGCAUGUGGUAGGUACUGUAUGAAUAACGAUCGGCAAACUCCGUGCCAGCAGCCGCGGUAAUACGGAGGAGCCGGGCGUUAUCCCGAUUUAUUGGGUUUAAAGGGUGAGUCGAUGGGUUAUUAAGUCCGAGGUUAAAGUUGGCGGCCCAACCCUAAAAUUGCCAUUGAAACUGGCGACCUUGAGUACGGUAGAGGUAUGCGGAAUUCGUGGUGUAGCGGUGAAAUGCAUAGAUAUCACGAAGAACUCCGAUUGCGAAGGCAGCUUACUA